rnacentral:rRNA from 1 species
UACGGAGGGGGCUAGCGUUGUUCGGAAUUACUGGGCGUAAAGCGCACGUAGGCGGACUUUCAAGUCAGGGGUGAAAUCCCGGAGCUCAACUUCGGAAUUGCCUUUGAUACUGUAGGUCUCGAGUCCGGAAGAGGUGGGUGGAAUUCCUAGUGUAGGGGUGAAAUUCGUAGAUAUUAGGAAGAACACCGGUGCGAAGGCGGCCCACUGGUCCGGUACUGACGCUGAGGUGCGAAAGCGUGGGGAGCAAACAGG